UACGUAGGGGGCAAGCGUUGUCCGGAAUCAUUGGGCGUAAAGAGCGUGUAGGCGGUCCGGUCAGUCGGUUGUGAAAGUCAAGGGCUCAACCCUUGAAUGCCGGCCGAUACUGCCGGGCUAGAGUCCGGGAGGGGCGAGUGGAAUUCCUGGUGUAGCGGUGAAAUGCGCAGAUAUCAGGAGGAACACCAAUGGCGAAGGCAGCUCGCUGGAACGGAACUGACGCUGAGGCGCGAAAGCGUGGGGAGCGAACAGG
rnacentral:rRNA from 1 species